AGGCUUGUGGCUCAGGUGGUUAGAGCGCACCCCUGAUAAGUGUGAGGUCGGUGGUUCAAGUCCACUCAGGCCUA
rnacentral:tRNA from 1 species